rnacentral:rRNA from 1 species
UACAGAGGUCCCAAGCGUUGUUCGGAUUUACUGGGCGUAAAGGGCGCGUAGGCGGCCACCGCAAGUCAAUUGUGAAAUCUCCGGGCUUAACCCGGAAAGGUCAACUGAUACUGCGGGGCUAGAGUGCGGAAGGGGCAACUGGAAUUCUCGGUGUAGCGGUGAAAUGCGUAGAUAUCGAGAGGAACACCUGCGGCGAAGGCGGGUUGCUGGGCCGACACUGACGCUGAUGCGCGAAAGCCAGGGGAGCGAACGGG